rnacentral:rRNA from 1 species
GUUGAACGCUGGCGGCAGGCCUAACACAUGCAAGUCGAGCGGAUGAAGGGAGCUUGCUCCUGGAUUCAGCGUCGGACGGGUGAGUAAUGCCUAUGAAUCUGCCUGGUAGUGGGGGAUAACGUCCGGAAAAGGGCGCGGAUACCACAUACGUCCUGAGGGAGAAAGUUGGGGGGGGUCGGACCUCUCGCUAGCAGAUGGACCUAGAUCGGAUUGGCGAGUUGGUGGGGUGAAUGCCUACCAAGCCGACGAUCCGUAACUGGUCUGAGAGGGUGAUCAGUCACCCUGGAACUGAGACACGGUCCAGGCUCCUGCGGGAGGGAGCAGUGGGGAAUAUUGGACAAUGGGCGAAAGCCUGAUACAGCCAUGGCGAGUGUGUGAAGAAGGUCUUCGGAUUGUAAAGCACUUUAAGUUGGGAGGAAGGGCAGUAAGUUAAUACCUUGCUGUUUUGACGUUACCAACAGAAUAAGCACCGGCUAACUUCGUG